GGCCCGUUGGUCAAGUGGUUAAGACACCGCCCUUUCACGGCGGUAACAUGGGUUCAAAUCCCGUACGGGGCA
rnacentral:tRNA from 1 species